rnacentral:lncRNA from 1 species
CUAACUGCAACCUCCGCCUCCAGGGUUCAAGUGAUUCUCCUGCCUCAGCCUCCUGAGUAGCUGGGAUUACAUGUGUGCGCCACCACACCUGGCUAAUUUUUUGUGUAUUUUUAAGGAGAGACGGGGUUUCAUCAUGUUGGUCAGGGUGGUCUCAAAUUCCUGACCUCGUGAUCUGCCUGCCUCAGCUUCCCAAAGUGCUGGGAUUAUAGGCGUGAGCCACCCUGCCCGGCCUGAUUUUUCUAAUUCUAUAUGAGUUUAUAGAACCUAAGUCUCACUACACAAUGCAUGAUAACUAUUUUUAAUCAAAUAGUAAAUAAUUACACAACUAUACACUUUGAAUAAAUUGGAUACAUAAUUUAAAUUCUACUUAACAAAUUAUCAGUCACCAAAGGUUACAUUUACAAUAUAUCUAAAUAUAUAGUGGAUGUAUUUUUUCUUUUUUAAUUACAAGCUAAUAAUUUUAGCAGUUGAACAGUUGAAAAUUAAAAUAUUUUUAUUGCACUUCUACAUGUUGGCUGGGUUAUAAUGAUAAAUGGUAAGAAAAAGAAACAGAAUUAUAUUUAAUAGAAGCACCUAUAAGAUUAGAUAUUUAUUCAGGAAAAACCAGAAGUCGUCCAACUGAUUGAUCAUAUGGUUGAAAGAGACAUGAAGAGCAAAAGCUAGGACUUGGGAGUGUACACAAAUGGAUAGCUGAAUGUGCUAAUAGAAAUCAGGAUAUAGACUUGUAAUCGCAACUCCCAACAAGUUAGGGAAUAAAUGUAUUGUCUUGGCCUUUCAUGAAAGAAGCAGGUGAUUUAAACUGCCUUGCCAGUAACCGGAAUAAAUGUUUGCUUUCAUAGGCAACAGAAGAAAACUUUAUAAGUGCAAAGAAAUGAAACAGCUAAUAGAAGUAAAACUUUACAGGCACCAAAGCUCUAAAAUCCCAUGCCAUGUUAAAUGUUAAAUGACUAAUAGUACUAAUAGUUCUAUGCUGUUUGGAAGAAAUACACCUUUACUAUUCCUAAAUCCUUCCUAAGAGUAGUAGAUCAUACUACUCCUUCCUAGGAGUAGUAGUUUUGGGCUAAAAUUAUCCCUGGGCUCUCAGUAAUGCCAAUUGAUGUCAUCACUUGGACAGUGUCAGGAAACUGAAGGAAAUAGUUUCUGCUUUUGGUCUGUGUAAACUAUUUUUCAAAAGCCUGGGGUAUUCUGUUCUUUCCCAGAGAGGGAAAGGAAAGGAAUUUCAGAACGAGGAUGCUGAUAUACUUUAGAAAGCUGCUACAGGUUACAGGCGCCUCUCUCGCUUGAUAGUAAGGUAUACCUACAUGUGUAAGUGGGAGAAAAGAGCUAGUCAAGGAGAAACAUUGGCUUCUGGUGCCACAUUGAAAAUUGCAGGUCAAGUUAAUGACUAAGUCCAUUUGAGCUAGAGCUAACCAGCAAGGGUUUUUCCACGUUUUUCUUUUGGCUCAAACUUGGAGCAAUUUUGACCCAAAAGACGGAGAAGAAGCGGGAGAAUGCUCAAGGUGAGAAAGAAAGGUCCCUUUUUGUGAGGUUUGGGCUUCAGGUACCUUUGUUAUGAACUUGAGCAGGAGUUAUACUCUGACGUGUUGCCCUGCAGGAUAAAACCACUGAAGGGAAGGUCACUGUGAAAAGGUAAGCCACAGACUGGGAGAAGGUAUUCGCAACACAUAUCACCAAACACGAAUAAAUGGCCAGAAUAUAUGAAGAAUUCCUACAAAUCAGUAAGAAAAAGACCAACUAAUCUUUAAAGUGGGCAAAGAUUCACUGGUUCCUUUGGAGGAGAAGAAAAAAAGGCAUGUUUGGCCCAGGCCUGCUGGAAAAUGCUGGCAAGCAUGAGUGCAGAGGUCCAAGUGUCUGCACCAAUGCCACAGAACUGGAGUAGUGCCAUGCCCAAGACCUGGAGAGCACAUGGGAGAUGUAGCUCUGUGCAGGAAUAAGUACUGGCUCUCAAAGCCAGGGCUGGCCUGGCCACUACACGGCAGAGAGGCAGGGCACUCUUCCUGAACCCCAACUCAGUAUUUUCUUCAAGGCUACUACUACAGGAACACUAUUAAGAAGAUCUAAAUGAUGAUAAACUAGGGAAGUACUAACAUAGAUGUGGCUUGGCCUUGUUCCUGACUCAGAUAAUCUGACUUCUGUCAAUGUUAUAGGAAUUCUACCUGCUCAGUUUCUUAAUAGUUAAGGUUAGAUCAAACACGUUCCAGAGGUCAGAACUCAGCACUCUAAACCAUUGACGCAGGGUUUGGAGAUGUGAUCUGUCGAACCACCUAACCUUCUGAAUCAUAUUCCAAACCCAAUCAUACUCCACACCCAAAAGAUUACGGGGAGAAAUAUAAAAGUUAAUGCAUGAAAAGUGUCUUCUUAAAUCACCAACACUCAUCUUCCCAAGACAAAACUUUAUUUGAAGCAUCAAGCAAUAUACUGAAAGAAGUGUCAUGCUCAAGUAAUGUUCUUAUUUCCAUAAUUGUACAUAUGCUUUUAUACAUAAC